rnacentral:rRNA from 1 species
UACGGAGGGUGCGAGCGUUGUCCGGAAUCAUUGGGCGUAAAGGGCGCGUAGGUGGCCCGGUGAGUCUUUGGUGAAAGCGCGGGGCUCAACCCUGCGUCGGCCAGGGAUACUGCCGCGACUCGAGCACUGUAGAGGCAGGCGGAAUUCCGGGUGUAGCGGUGGAAUGCGUAGAGAUCCGGAAGAACACCGGUGGCGAAGGCGGCCUGCUGGGCAGUGGCUGACGCUGAGGCGCGACAGCGUGGGAAGCAAACAGG